rnacentral:misc_RNA from 1 species
GAUGAAGAACGCAGCGAAAUGCGAUACUUGGUGUGAAUUGCAGAAUCCCGUGAACCAUCGAGUCUUUGAACGCAAGUUGCGCCCGAAGCCAUUAGGCCGAGGGCACGCCUGCCUGGGCGUCACACGUCGUUGCCCCCCCAUCUACUCCUUCGGGAUUGCGGGGGGCGGAUGAUGGCCUCUCGUGCGCUUCGUCGCGCGGUUGGCCUAAAUGCCAAGUCCUCGGCGACGCACGCCACGACAAUCGGUGGUUGCGAAACCUCGGUUGCCUGUCGUGUGCGGUCGUCGCGCAUCGAGGGCUCGAAAAAAUUGCCGGGCUUCGGCUCGACUUUCAACGCGACCCCAGGUCAGGCGGGGUUACCCGCUGAAUUUAAGCAUAACAAUAAGCGGAGGA